rnacentral:tRNA from 2 species
GCCUGGCUGGCUCAGUCAGUAGAGCACACAAGACUCUUGAUCUCGGGGUCGUGAGUUCGAGCCCCACGUUGGGUG